GGGUGAGUAGUCUAGCCUGGGAGGAUGCGUGCUUGGGGUGUACGUGAUCGGGAGUUCAAAUCUCCCCUCGCCCA
rnacentral:tRNA from 2 species